rnacentral:rRNA from 1 species
GAUGAACGCUGGCGGCGUGCCUAAUACAUGCAAGUCGAGCGAACAGACGAGGAGCUUGCUCCUCUGACGUUAGCGGCGGACGGGUGAGUAACACGUGGAUAACCUACCUAUAAGACUGGGAUAACUUCGGGAAACCGGAGCUAAUACCGGAUAAUAUAUUGAACCGCAUGGUUCAAUAGUGAAAGACGGUUUUGCUGUCACUUAUAGAUGGAUCCGCGCCGCAUUAGCUAGUUGGUAAGGUAACGGCUUACCAAGGCAACGAUGCGUAGCCGACCUGAGAGGGGGAUCGGCCACACUGGAACUGAGACACGGUCCAGACUCCUACGGGAGGCAGCAGGAGGGAAUCUUCCGCAAUGGGCGAAAGCCUGACGGAGCAACGCCGCGUGAGUGAGGAAGGUCUUCGGAUCGUAAAACGCUGUUAUUAGGGAAGAACAAAUGUGUAAGUAACUAUGCACGUCUGGACGGUACCUAAUCAGAAAGCCACGGCUAACUACGU